GUCGUGAAUUUUUUUUUUUAUUCUUUCCUUCCCCGCUAUUUUUUUUUUUUUUUGCAAUAUAAAUUUCAUUUGUGAUCGUUACAGGUAUGCGGUGUUGCGCAAUACCUGCGCAAUAACGGUACAAACGUGCGUGACGGCAAUCUGAAAAGCGCGGAGGAAGAAGGAGAAAUCGGUAUAAGGAAUAUAACUCGGUGUAUGAAGUCAUCUGCAGCAAGGAUCUUUCACCUUGUCCACGCUGUUCUAAGAACGUCCUGCGUGGAACCGCAAUCGAGUAUGGUUACAACCUAACCCUAACGCGGAGGGAAUUUGUUUUCUCGACGACGACGAUGAUGAUGACGACGACGAUGACGGUAUUUCUCGAUAAAGAUAAAUAAUUCCUAGAAGAAAUGAAUAAAAUCGAAUGGAGACGCGAUUUACAUUCAAUUUCUUAUGAAGCAUAAAAAAAAAAAUGCUUUGGAUGGUCAAAUCGAGAAAAAUUGUUUUGGCAUGGUAACAAAGGAAAGAACGGUGGAGGGAAAGAUGGUAUCGGCAGCGCCGCUUUAAGGAGUAAUUUCCCGCGCGCGAGGAAGAAAAAAAGAAAAUACGAAGGAACGACGUUUACGACGUUUCGAGGAAGAAGCAAGAAUCUCAUCCUCUCUGUAUUUCUCCGUUUACACGAUUACAAAGUAAGACACGCGGUCGGUUAUGUAGAUAUUUAAAAAGUUCUUCGAUCUUCGGAGAAAAAAAAUAUAAGUUUGCGACCUCGA